rnacentral:rRNA from 1 species
UACGGAGGGGGCUAGCGUUGUUCGGAAUUACUGGGCGUAAAGCGCACGUAGGCGGCUUUGUAAGUUAGAGGUGAAAGUCCAGGGCUUAACCCUGAAAUUGCCUUUAAGACUGCAUCGCUAGAAUCGUGGAGAGGUGAGUGGAAUUCCGAGUGUAGAGGUGAAAUUCGUAGAUAUUCGGAAGAACACCAGUGGCGAAGGCGACUCACUGGACACGUAUUGACGCUGAGGUGCGAAAGCGUGGGGAGCAAAACAGG